rnacentral:tRNA from 1 species
AGCCGUUUAGUUUAAAAAAAAUUUUUAUUUGUGGUAUAAAAGAUGGUAUGGCUAU